rnacentral:rRNA from 1 species
AUCAACGCUGGCGGCGUGCCUCAGACAUGCAAGUCGAACGAUUAAAGCUCUCUUCGGAGAGUGCAUAAAGUGGCGCACGGGUGAGUAACACGUAAGUAAUCUACCUCUGAGUGGGGAAUAACGUCCGGAAACGGACGCUAAUACCGCAUAAUGCAGCGGCAUCAUAAGAUGACAGUUGUUAAAGAUUUAUCGCUUAGAGGGGAGCUUGCGGCAGAUUAGCUAGUUGGUAAGGUAACGGCUUACCAAGGCUACGAUCUGUAACCGGUCUUAGAGGACGGUCGGUCACACUGACACUGAAUAACGGGUCAGACUCCUACGGGAGGCAGCAGUCGGGAAUUUUGGGCAAUGGGCGAAAGCCUGACCCAGCAACGCCGCGUGAAGGAUGAAGUAUUUCGGUAUGUAAACUUCGAAAGAAUAGGAAGAAUAAAUGACGGUACUAUUUAUAAGGUCCGGCUAACUACGUGCCAGCAGCCGCGGUAAUACGUAGGGACCAAGCGUUGUUCGGAUUUACUGGGCGUAAAGGGCGCGUAGGCGGCAUGACAAGUCACUUGUGAAAUCUCCGGGCUUAACUCGGAACGGCCAAGUGAUACUGUCACGCUAGAGUAUUGGAGGGGCAAUCGGAAUUCUUGGUGUAGCGGUGAAAUGCGUAGAUAUCAAGAGGAACACCUGAGGUGAAGACGGGUUGCUGGCCAAAUACUGACGCUGAGGCGCGAAAGCCAGGGGAGCAAGCGGGAUUAGAUACCCCGGUAGUCCUGGCCCUAAACGAUGAAUACUUGGUGUCUGGAGUUUUUAAACUCUGGGUGCCGUCGCUAACGUUUUAAGUAUUCCGCCUGGGGAGUACGCUCGCAAGAGUGAAACUCAAAGGAAUUGACGGGGACCCGCACAAGCGGUGGAGCAUGUGGUU